GGGGGGGGCCCCAGCGGCGGCCGGGGGGAGUGCGCCCGCCGCCGGUCGCGGGGCAACGGGCCGCGUCCCGGGCUGAGGCCAUGGAGGAGGCGCCGCCGAGCCCCCGCGUCUUCCUCAACCACCUGGACUCCUACUGCGGCCGCAACAUCGGCGAGUAUUUAUCCAGUUGUGUUGUUGGGGCGACCCUUGAAAGCCCAGAAGAAGAAGAGGAGGGAGAUGAAAAUUAUUCAGUUUUUGAGGAUUCCACAGACCCAAAGCGGCAAGUCUAUGAAAUAGUGGGUACUCUUUCCAAGCCAGAGAGUACUUGUCCACGUUUUGCAAAGGAAACUUACGCAGUCUCUUCUCAAAAUGAACUCUUAAGCCACUUGCUUGAGUGUGAAAUUGUUUUAUAUAACAUCACUGAGGAUGCAAACCAAAUUGAGGAAGCAAUGUGGGCUGCUUCUGCCCUACAUGCAGAAAUAGAGACUUUUGCAAAACGAAAGGUAUUCAUCCUCAUUUCAACAAUAAUGACCUGGGGAAAUAGCAAACCCCCUAACCCUGAGAAUCCUGAGAUUGCUUUUAAUGAUGAAGAUUUUCGCAAAAGAAAAUCUCAUCCUAGCUUUAUGGAUUACAUAAAUGCUGAAAAACACAUUGCAAAACUUGGGAGAACUAACAAAAAAAAGUUUUUAACUUACACUGUUGCCUCAGGACAUCAAUAUGGAGCUGAGGAAGGACUCUUUCACUACUUUUUUAAGAUGUGUUGGCUUGGUGAGACUCCUGCAAUACCUGUUUUUGGAGAUGGAAACAAUAUUAUUCCAACCAUUCAUAUUCGUGAUUUAGCAGUAGUGUUGCAAAAUGUAGCAGAGCACAAGCCAGACUUGCAGUAUGUACUUGCAGUAGAUACAUCGAUGCACACACUUGGAGAGAUAGUAAAGGGUAUCAGUAAAAAUAUUGGACCAGGAAAAAUUGAGAAGGUUCCUAAAGAAAAUGCAUUCCUGAGCAAAGAGCUAACAGUCAGUACUAUUCUUUCUUUUAUUACUUCAGGAAAGUAUUUAAACUUAAAAGUAUAAUAUAAUGAAAUA
rnacentral:lncRNA from 12 species